UCCCUGGCAGUCCAGCUGUUAAGACUCUGCACUCCCAAUGCAGGUGGCUUGGGUUCAAUCUCUAGUCAGGGAA
rnacentral:tRNA from 1 species